GAACAUGAUGAGGUUAUUUAUCGCCCUAGUCUUUCACGCAUCCAUAGUGAUUGAUACUCUUAUUCACAUCUGAUUC